rnacentral:rRNA from 1 species
UGGGGAAUAUUGCACAAUGGGCGCAAGCCUGAUGCAGCAACGCCGCGUGAAGGAAGAAGGCCUUUGGGUCGUAAACUUCUGUCCUAGGGGAAGAUAAUGACGGUACCCUUGGAGGAAGCCCCGGCUAACUACGUGCCAGCAGCCGCGGUAAUACGUAGGUGGCAAGCGUUGUCCGGAAUUACUGGGUGUAAAGGGAGCGUAGGCGGGCAGGCAAGUCAGGCGUGAAAGAUAUCGGCUCAACCGGUAGCUGCGCUUGAAACUGCAGGUCUUGAGUGAAGUAGAGGUUGGCGGAAUUCCUAGUGUAGCGGUGAAAUGCGUAGAUAUUAGGAGGAACACCAGUGGCGAAGGCGGCCAACUGGGCUUUUACUGACGCUGAGGCUCGAAAGUGUGGGGAGCAAACAGGAUUAGAUACCCUGGUAGU